rnacentral:rRNA from 1 species
AACGAACGCUGGCGGCGUGCCUAACACAUGCAAGUCGAGCGGGAAAGUUCCCUUCGGGGAGCGAGUACAGCGGCGAACGGGUGAGUAACACGUAGGUAACCUACCCUGGAGACUGGGAUAACCUGCCGAAAGGCGGGCUAAUACCAGAUAAGACCACGAGGGUUGCGGCCCUUGGGGCAAAAGAUGGCCUAUGCUUGCAAGCUAUCACUCCGGGAUGGGCCUGCGCGCCAUUAGCAGUUGGUGAGGUAACGGCUCACCAAGGCAGAGAUGGCUAGCUGGUCUGAGAGGAUGGCCAGCCACACUGGGACUGAGACACGGCCCAGACUCCUACGGGAGGCAGCAGUGGGGAAUAUUGCGCAAUGGGCGAAAGCCUGAUCCAAGCCAUGCCGCGUGAGUGAAGAAGGCCUUAGGGUUGUAAAGC